GACGAACGCUGGCGGCGUGCUUAACACAUGCAAGUCGAACGGAAAGGCCCUGCUUUUGUGGGGUGCUCGAGUGGCGAACGGGUGAGUAACACGUGAGUAACCUGCCCUUGACUUUGGGAUAACUUCAGGAAACUGGGGCUAAUACCGGAUAGGAGCUCCUGCUGCAUGGUGGGGGUUGGAAAGUUUCGGCGGUUGGGGAUGGACUCGCGGCUUAUCAGCUUGUUGGUGGGGUAGUGGCUUACCAAGGCUUUGACGGGUAGCCGGCCUGAGAGGGUGACCGGCCACAUUGGGACUGAGAUACGGCCCAGACUUCUACGGGAGGCAGCAGUGGGGAAUAUUGCACAAUGGGCGGAAGCCUGAUGCAGCAACGCCGCGUGCGGGAUGACGGCCUUCGGGUUGUAAACCGCUUUCGCCUGUGACGAAGCGUGAGUGACGGUAAUGUGUAAAGAAGCACCGGCUAACUACGUG
rnacentral:rRNA from 1 species